rnacentral:rRNA from 1 species
UACGGAGGAUGCAAGCGUUAUCCGGGAUUAUUGGGCGUAAAGCGUCCGCAGGUGGCACUUCAAGUCUGUCGUCAAAGACUGGGGCUUAACCCUGGAAAGGCGGUGGAAACUGAAGCGCUAGAGUGCGGUAGGGGUAGAGGGAAUUCCCGGUGUAGCGGUGAAAUGCGUAGAGAUCGGGAAGAACAUCGGUGGCGAAAGCGCUCUACUGGACCGCAACUGACACUCAGGGACGAAAGCUAGGGGAGCGAAUGGG